GUUGUAUAGUCAAGUAAUUAAGUGCAUGUGGUGGAUGCCUUGGCAGUCAGAGGCGAUGAAAGACGUGAUAGCCUGCGAAAAGCUCCGGGGAGGCGGCAAAUAUCCUGUGAUCCGGAGAUGUCUGAAUGGGGAAACCCACUUACCAUAAGGUAGGUAUUGCAUGAUGAAUACAUAGUCAUGCAAGGCGAACGAGGGGAAGUGAAACAUCUCAGUACCCUUAGGAAAAGAAAUCAAUUGAGAUUCCCUCAGUAGCGGCGAGCGAAAGGGGAAGAGCCCAUUAAGUUAUCUAAGUUCUAGUGGAAUGCUCUGGGAAGUGCAACCAUAGUGGGUGAUAGUCCUGUACACGAAAGGGCUUAGAUAAUGAUGUCGAGUAGGGCGAGGCACGUGAAACCUUGUCUGAAUAUGGGGGGACCAUCCUCCAAGGCUAAAUACUCCUGACUGACCGAUAGUGAACCAGUACCGUGAGGGAAAGGCGAAAAGAACCCCUGUGAGGGGAGUGAAAUAGAUCCUGAAACCGCAUGCAUACAAGCAGUGGGAGCCGGCUUAGUCCGGUGACUGCGUACCUUUUGUAUAAUGGGUCAGCGACUUAUAUUCAGUAGCGAGGUUAACCGAAUAGGGGAGCCGUAGGGAAACCGAGUCUUAAUAGGGCGCAUUAGUUGCUGGGUAUAGACCCGAAACCAGGUGAUCUAUCCAUGAGCAGGUUGAAGGUUGGGUAACACUAACUGGAGGACCGAACCCACUGUCGUUGAAAAGCCAGGGGAUGACUUGUGGAUAGGGGUGAAAGGCUAAUCAAACUUGGUGAUAGCUGGUUCUCCCCGAAAGCUAUUUAGGUAGCGCCUCGGACGAAUACCAUUGGGGGUAGAGCACUGUUUCGGCUAGGGGGUCAUCCCGACUUACCAAACCGAUGCAAACUCCGAAUACCAAUGAGUACUAUCCGGGAGACAGACUGCGGGUGCUAACGUCCGUAGUCAAGAGGAAAACAAUCCAGACCGCCAGCUAAGGCCCCAAAAUCAUAGUUAAGUGGGAAACGAUGUGGGAAGGCAUAGACAGCUAGGAGGUUGGCUUAGAAGCAGCCACCCUUUAAAGAAAGCGUAAUAGCUCACUAGUCGAGUCGGCCUGCGCGGAAGAUGUAACGGGGCUAAAACUAUGUGCCGAAGCUGCGGAUUUGCAAUUUAUUGCAAGUGGUAGGGGAGCGUUCUGUAAGCCGAUGAAGGUGGAUUGAGAAGUCUGCUGGAGGUAUCAGAAGUGCGAAUGCUGACGUGAGUAACGACAAUGCGAGUGAAAAACUCGCACGCUGAAAGACCAAGGGUUCCAGUCCAACGUUAAUCGGGGCUGGGUGAGUCGACCCC
rnacentral:rRNA from 1 species